AUCAUCAACUUCCACUACAAAGAGGAAGAAAAUUAGACUUCUACCAAGAUUGUUUUCAGAAAAGCCUUCAAAUAAUCACUGAAUACUCUAAAAUCCAAUCCCAAGAUCCUUUUGAAGAGUCCUAAAUUCCAGAUGUAGUAUGUACCAUUCCAUCAUUCUGAAGUCUAUUAGAUAUAGUUCUACAGAAGUCAUUGCCAGUUGCUGAUAUCUGCAUUCAUGAUCUGGCCAAGCUCUAAGAAAAAUAUCUGGAAUUGUUGGGGGUGUCCAUCACUCAACUGAUCUUUUUUGUUAAGGGACAUAUAUGGGAACUAUAUGGGAUUUAGACAUUUUAAAUGUUUUGAUUUAAUAGAGUAGGUUUACAGUUG